rnacentral:rRNA from 1 species
GACGAACGCUGGCGGCGUGCUUAACACAUGCAAGUCGAACGCUGAAGCUUGGUGCUUGCACUGGGUGGAUGAGUGGCGAACGGGUGAGUAAUACGUGAGUAACCUGCCCUUGACUCUGGGAUAAGCCUGGGAAACUGGGUCUAAUACUGGAUACGACAUGUCACCGCAUGGUGGUGUGUGGAAAGGGUUUUACUGUUUUGGAUGGGCUCACGGCCUAUCAGCUUGUUGGUGGGGUAAUGGCUCACCAAGGCGACGACGGGUAGCCGGCCUGAGAGGGUGACCGGCCACACUGGGACUGAGACACGGCCCAGACUCCUACGGGAGGCAGCAGUGGGGAAUAUUGCACAAUGGGCGGAAGCCUGAUGCAGCGACGCCGCGUGAGGGAUGACGGCCUUCGGGUUGUAAACCUCUUUCAGCACGGAAGAAGCGAAAGUGACGGUACGUGCAGAAGAAGCGCCGGCUAACUACGUG